rnacentral:rRNA from 1 species
ACGCUCGACACCUAGGGAGCAGCAGUGAGGAAUAUUGGUCAAUGGGCGCUAGCCUGAACCAGCCAAGUAGCGUGAAGGAUGAAGGCUCUAUGGGUCGUAAACUUCUUUUAUAUAAGAAUAAAGUGCAGUAUGUAUACUGUUUUGUAUGUAUUAUAUGAAUAAGGAUCGGCUAACUCCGUGCCUGCAGCCGCGGUAAUCUGAGCGGGCUGGCAAGGC